rnacentral:rRNA from 1 species
GAACGGUAACAGAGAAUAGCUUGCUAUUUUGCUGACGAGUGGCGGACGGGUGAGUAAUGCUUGGGAAUAUGCCUUAUGGUGGGGGACAACAGUUGGAAACGACUGCUAAUACCGCAUAACAUCUCCGGAUCAAAGUGGGGGACCUUCGGGCCUCACGCCAUAAGAGUAGCCCAAGUGGGAUUAGCUAGUUGGUAAGGUAAUGGCUUACCAAGGCGACGAUCCCUAGUUGGUCUUAGAGGAUGACCAGCCACACUGGAACUGAGACACGGUCCAGACUCCUACGGGAGGCAGCAGUGGGGAAUAUUGCACAAUGGGCGCAAGCCUGAUGCAGCCAUGCCGCGUGUGUGAAGAAGGCUUUCGGGUUGUAAAGCACUUUCAGCGAGGAGGAAAGGUUGUACUUUAAUAGAGUGCAGCUGUGACGUUACUCGCAGAAGAAGCACCGGCUAACUCCGUGCCAGCAGCCGCGGUAAUACGGAGGGUGCGAGCGUUAAUCGGAAUUACUGGGCGUAAAGCGCGCGUAGGUGGUUAAUUAAGUCAGAUGUGAAAUCCCAGGGCUCAACCUUGGAACUGCAUUUGAAACUGGUUGACUAGAGUUUUGUAGAGGGUGGUAGAAUUUCAGGUGUAGCGGUGAAAUGCGUAGAGAUCUGAAGGAAUACCAGUGGCGAAGGCGGCCACCUGGACAAAGACUGACACUGAGGCGCGAAGGCGUGGGGAGCAAACGGGAUUAGAUACCCCGGUAGUCCACGCAGUAAACGAUGUCUAUUAGAAUUUUGUGGCUAUAUGCCGUGGGAUUCAAAGCUAACGCAUUAAAUAGACCGCCUGGGGAGUACGGCCGCAAGGUUAAAACUCAA